CCUACGGGAGGCAGCAGUGGGGGAUAUUGCACAAUGGGGGAAACCCUGAUGCAGCGACGCCGCGUGGGCGAAGAAGUAUUUCGGUAUGUAAAGCCCUAUCAGCAGGGAAGAAGAAAUGACGGUACCUGAGUAAGAAGCACCGGCUAAAUACGUGCCAGCAGCCGCGGUAAUACGUAUGGUGCAAGCGUUAUCCGGAUUUACUGGGUGUAAAGGGAGCGCAGGCGGCACGGCAAGCCUGAUGUGAAAGCCCGCGGCCCAACCGGGGGACUGCAUUGGGAACUACCGGGCUGGAGUGCCGGAGAGGUAGGCGGAAUUCCUAGUGUAGCGGUGAAAUGCGUAGAUAUUAGGAGGAACACCAGUGGCGAAGGCGGCUUACUGGACGGUGACUGACGCUGAGGCUCGAAAGCGUGGGGAGCAAACAGGAUUAGAUACCCCAGUAGUC
rnacentral:rRNA from 1 species